rnacentral:tRNA from 1 species
GUUCCUUUAGCUCAGUUGGUUAGAGCNNAGACGGCUCAUAACCGUCCGGUCACUGGUUCGAGACCAGUAGGGAACA